rnacentral:rRNA from 1 species
UACGUAGGGGUCGAGCGUUGUCCGGAGUUACUGGGCGUAAAGCGCAUGCAGGCGGCUCAUUACGCAUGGCGUGAAAGCCCCCGGCUUAACCGGGGAGGGUCGUCGUGUACGGGUGAGCUUGAGGGUAUCAGGGGCUGGUGGAAUUCCCGGUGUAGUGGUGAAAUGCGUAGAGAUCGGGAGGAACACCUGUGGCGAAGGCGGCCAGCUGGGAUACACCUGACGCUGAGAUGCGAAGGCGUGGGGAGCGAACGGGAUUAGAUACCCCGGUAGUCCACGCAGUAAACGAUGCACACUAGGCGUGGGAGGACUUGACCCCUUCCGUGCCGGAGCUAACGCGAUAAGUGUGCCGCCUGGGGAGUACGGUCGCAAGACUAAA